AAUAUUCCGCAAUGGACGAAAGUCUGACGGAGCGACGCCGCGUGGAUGAAGAAGGCUGAAAAGUUGUAAAAUCCUUUUGUUGAUGAAGAAUAAGGGGGAGAGGGAAUGCUUCUCUGAUGACGGUAAUCAGCGAAUAAGCCCCGGCUAAUUACGUGCCAGCAGCCGCGGUAACACGUAAGGGGCGAGCGUUGUUCGGAAUUAUUGGGCGUAAAGGGCAUGUAGGCGGUUAUGUAAGCCUGAUGUGAAAUCCUGGGGCUUAACCCUACAAUAGCAUUGGGUACUGUAUAACUUGAAUUACCGAAGGGAAACUGGAAUUCCAAGUGUAGGGGUGGAAUCUGUAGAUAUUUGGAAGAACACCGG
rnacentral:rRNA from 1 species